GGGUGCUAACGUCCGUCGUGAAGAGGGAAACAACCCAGACCGCCAGCUAAGGUCCCAAAGUCAUGGUUAAGUGGGAAACGAUGUGGGAAGGCCCAGACAGCCAGGAUGUUGGCUUAGAAGCAGCCAUCAUUUAAAGAAAGCGUAAUAGCUCACUGGUCGAGUCGGCCUGCGCGGAAGAUGUAACGGGGCUAAACCAUGCACCGAAGCUGCGGCAGCGACGCUGAUGCGUUGUUGGGUAGGGGAGCGUUCUGUAAGCCUGCGAAGGUGUGUCGUGAGGCAUGCUGGAGGUAUCAGAAGUGCGAAUGCUGACAUAAGUAACGAUAAAGCGGGUGAAAAGCCCGCUCGCCGGAAGACCAAGGGUUCCUGUCCAACGUUAAUCGGGGCAGGGUGAGUCGACCCCUAAGGCGAGGCCGAAAGGCGUAGUCGAUGGGAAACGGGUUAAUAUUCCCGUACUUGGUGUUACUGCGAAGGGGGGACGGAGAAGGCUAUGUUGGCCGGGCGACGGUUGUCCCGGUUUAAGCGUGUAGGUGUGUGUUCCAGGUAAAUCCGGUUCACUUUAACACUGAGGCGUGACGACGAGGCACUACGGUGCUGAAGCAACAAAUGCCCUGCUUCCAGGAAAAGCCUCUAAGCAUCAGGUAACAUCAAAUCGUACCCCAAACCGACACAGGUGGUCAGGUAGAGAAUACCAAGGCGCUUGAGAGAACUCGGGUGAAGGAACUAGGCAAAAUGGUGCCGUAACUUCGGGAGAAGGCACGCUGACACGUAGGUGAAGUGAUUUACUCAUGGAGCUGAAGUCAGUCGAAGAUACCAGCUGGCUGCAACUGUUUAUUAAAAACACAGCACUGUGCAAACACGAAAGUGGACGUAUACGGUGUGACGCCUGCCCGGUGCCGGAAGGUUAAUUGAUGGGGUCAGCGCAAGCGAAGCUCCUGAUCGAAGCCCCGGUAAACGGCGGCCGUAACUAUAACGGUCCUAAGGUAGCGAAAUUCCUUGUCGGGUAAGUUCCGACCUGCACGAAUGGCGUAAUGAUGGCCAGGCUGUCUCCACCCGAGACUCAGUGAAAUUGAACUCGCUGUGAAGAUGCAGUGUACCCGCGGCAAGACGGAAAGACCCCGUGAACCUUUACUAUAGCUUGACACUGAACAUUGAGCCUUGAUGUGUAGGAUAGGUGGGAGGCUUUGAAGUGUGGACGCCAGUCUGCAUGGAGCCGACCUUGAAAUACCACCCUUUAAUGUUUGAUGUUCUAACGUGGACCCGUUA
rnacentral:rRNA from 1 species